GGAUGAAGAACGUAGUGAAAUGCGAUACGUAAUGUGAAUUGCAGAAUUCAGUGAAUCAUCGAAUCUUUGAACGCAUAUUGCGCUCUCUGGUAUUCCGGAGAGCAUGCUUGUUUGAGUAUCAGUAAACACCUCAACUUCCAUAUCUUUUUUGAAAUGGGAGUUGGACUUGAGUGAUCCCAACGCUUUUCCUCACCGAAAAGUGGCGGGUUACUUGAAAUGCAGGUGCAGCUGGACUUUUCUCUGAGCUAUAAGCAUAUCUAUUUAGUCUGCCUAAAAAACAGAUUAUUACCUUUGCUGCAGCUAACAUAAAGGAGAUUAGUUCUUGUGCUGACUGAUGCAGGAUUCACAAAGACAGGCUUCGGCCGACUUUGUAAACUCGAUCUCAAAUCAAGUAAGGCUACCCGCUGAACUUAAGCAUAUCAAUAAGCGGAGGA
rnacentral:misc_RNA from 1 species